rnacentral:lncRNA from 1 species
UCGGACAGAGAUGGAAAUAAAAUCAGAGGACGUUACGCGAUCAGCGCGAUUCAAGCCGUGGUUACCGCUUGGGAUUGGUUUGCCGGAUAGUGAAGACGAUACUCCGAGGAGUUCAGCAUUGUGAGCAAUAGUAUUUCCCAGUCAUCAGUAAGUGUCUGGUCGAGCUUUCUUUGGUGUCCUGUACACAUCAUCAUUCGAUGUCCAGUAAACGUCGAGUUAUU